CAUGUAGGCGGUUUGGUAAGCCUGGUGUGAAAUCCUGCAGCUUAACUGUAGAAUUGCAUUGGGUACUGCCAGACUUGAAUCACGGAGGGGAAACUAGAAUUCCAGGUGUAGGGGUGGAAUCUGUAGAUAUCUGGAAGAAUACCGGUGGCGAAGGCGGGUUUCUAGCCGAUGAUUGACGCUGAGGUGCGAAAGUGCGGGGAGCAAACA
rnacentral:rRNA from 1 species